UACGAAGGGUGCAAGCGUUACUCGGAAUUACUGGGCGUAAGCGUGCGUAGGCGGUUCGUUAAGUCUGUCGUGAAAGCCCUGGGCUCAACCUGGGAAUUGCGAUGGAUACUGGCGAGCUAGAGUACGGUAGAGGAUGGUGGAAUUCCCGGUGUAGCGGUGAAAUUCGUAGAUAUCGGGAGGAACACCGGUGGCGAAGGCGGCGAUCUGGGUAGAUACUGACGCUGAGGUGCGAAAGCGUGGGGAGCAAACAGG
rnacentral:rRNA from 1 species